rnacentral:rRNA from 1 species
UACGUAGGGUGCGAGCGUUGUCCGGAAUUAUUGGGCGUAAAGAGCUCGUAGGCGGUCUGUCGCGUCUGCUGUGAAAACCCGGGGCUCAACUCCGGGCUUGCAGUGGAUACGGGCAGACUAGAGUUCGGUAGGGGAGACUGGAAUUCCUGGUGUAGCGGUGAAAUGCGCAGAUAUCAGGAGGAACACCGGUGGCGAAGGCGAGUCCCUGGACAACACCUGACACUGAGGCACGAAAGCUAGGGGAGCAAACAGG